AGUGCCGACUAUAUUUCAAGUCGUCACGGCGGGGUAUUGGGUAAAGUUUUCAAUUAGCAAUAAUCGCGCCUCGGAUAAACCUCAUAGGCUACGAUACUGCCACUGCGCAAAGCUGAAUUUGAAAUCAGCCAAAGAGGGGAAGUGAUCGAACAACACAGGAGGUUCAUCAAUGUCUCCCCAGGGGCGAGCUUGACAUACAUCUGAGCGCUGUAAUUCUCAGUGAACCAUAAUAGUGGAUUAAAUGGAGACUUACCUUCGAAAACAUCCACCAUGUUGAAGAAGGCCAGAGACAGCGAAGACUUUCCACUGCCCGUUCUACCACAGAUGCCCACCUGUUACAGUAAGAACAACAUAGUAUCGUGAAGAACCAGCCUGAAAAUAUUCAAGACCAUCAAUCAGCAAAGCAGUUACCCAGUCAGCAUGGAUGAGGUACUGCAGCUUAUGAGUGACCAAGACCAAUGUCCGUUUGUCGUCCUGGAGGAACUUGAGUAUCCCCUCCUGCAUCAGAUGAUCACUGAGGUGGAUGUCCAGGGCAGAGAACGGGUCAUCCUAUAAGUGUUCCACAAUCCCAGAGAUGCAGAGUGGCCCGGCAAAGCCCAGCAGGUCUGCCAUGUACCGGAAGGUGCUGCUGAGGAGGAUUGAGCCCCCAAAGGCUCGGUACAUGGAUUUCCAGAUGGAUGGGGAUUUUUCUGGGUCCUCUGUGUUCUGCUGUCAAAAUUUGAUAAGCAACGAGGAAUCCUUCAGACGCAGAUAGUUGGUCAAGGCCCUCAUUGCGAUAGGAAGUUUGCCAAUCUUCUUCAGCUCAAUGGGUCUCUUAUGGGCUCC